UACAGAGGGUGCGAGCGUUAAUCGGAAUUACUGGGCGUAAAGCGUGCGUAGACGGCUAUCUAAGUCGGGUGUGAAAGCCCCGGGCUCAACCUGGGAAUUGCAUUCGAGACUGAAUAGCUAGGGUGCGGUAGAGGGAAGCGGAAUUUCCGGUGUAGCGGUGAAAUGCGUAGAUAUCGGAAGGAACACCAGUGGCGAAGGCGACUACCUGGCCUGUUCUUGACGCUGAGGCGCGAAAGCUAGGGGAGCAAACGGG
rnacentral:rRNA from 1 species